AUUGAACGCUGGCGGCAUGCUUUACACAUGCAAGUCGAACGGUAACAGGCCGCAAGGUGCUGACGAGUGGCGAACGGGUGAGUAAUGCAUCGGAACGUGCCCAGUCGUGGGGGAUAACGCAGCGAAAGCUGCGCUAAUACCGCAUACGAUCUAUGGAUGAAAGCGGGGGACCGUAAGGCCUCGCGCGAUUGGAGCGGCCGAUGUCAGAUUAGGUAGUUGGUGGGGUAAAGGCUCACCAAGCCAACGAUCUGUAGCUGGUCUGAGAGGACGACCAGCCACACUGGGACUGAGACACGGCCCAGACUCCUACGGGAGGCAGCAGUGGGGAAUUUUGGACAAUGGGCGCAAGCCUGAUCCAGCAAUGCCGCGUGCAGGAAGAAGGCCUUCGGGUUGUAAACUGCUUUUGUACGGAACGAAAAGGCUCUGGUUAAUACCUGGGGCUCAUGACGGUACCGUAAGAAUAAGCACCGGCUAACUACGUGCCAGCAGCCGCCGCAGUAA
rnacentral:rRNA from 1 species